AUACCUUUCUCGGCUUUCUGGCUAAGAUCAAGUGUAAUAUUUGUUUUUAUUAGUUUAAUAUCUGAUAUGUGGGCCAUUGGCUCAUGACUCACUUUUUAUUAAAUUAAAUAUUGGGAGGGCCCAUUACAGUAGCAAGCUACUGGGGUCUCUCGUGCGUCGCCUUGGUGUUGCACUACUGCUUUGGCCUGACACACCCCAC